rnacentral:rRNA from 1 species
UACGGAGGGUGCGAGCGUUGUCCGGAAUCACUGGGCGUAAAGGGUGCGUAGGUGGCGUGGUAAGUCUGGUGUGAAAUCCCGGGGCUCAACCCCGGAACUGCACUGGAUACUGCCAUGCUUGAGUACUGGAGAGGAGAUUGGAAUUUACGGUGUAGCAGUGAAAUGCGUAGAUAUCGUAAGGAAGACCAGUGGCGAAGGCGGGUCUCUGGGCCGUAACUGACGCUGAGGAGCGAAAGCGUGGGGAGCGAACAGG